rnacentral:rRNA from 1 species
UAAGGAAUAUUGGUCAAUGGAGGCAACUCUGAACCAGCCAUGCCGCGUGCAGGACGACGGCCCUCUGGGUUGUAAACUUCUUUUAUUCGGGAGUAAACCUAUCUACGUGUAGAUCGCUGCAUGUACCGAACGAAUAAGGAUCGGCUAACUCCGUGCCAGCAGCCGCGGUAAUACGGAGGAUCCAAGCGUUAUCCGGAUUUAUUGGGUUUAAAGGGUGCGUAGGCGGCCUAUUAAGUCAGGGGUGAAAGACGGUAGCUCAACUAUCGCAGUGCCCUUGAUACUGGUGGGCUUGAAUGAAUGAGAGGUAGGCGGAAUGUGAGGUGUAGCGGUGAAAUGCAUAGAUAUGUCACAGAACACCGAUUGCGAAGGCAGUUUGCGAUCGUUUUAUUGACGCUGAGGCACGAAAGCGCGGGGAUCAAACA